rnacentral:rRNA from 1 species
UACGUAUGGUGCAAGCGUUAUCCGGAUUUACUGGGUGUAAAGGGAGCGUAGGUGGUCAUGCAAGUCAGGAGUGAAAUACCGGGGCUCAACCCCGGGGCUGCUCUUGAAACUGCGUAACUGGAGUGCAGGAGGGGUAAGCGGAAUUCCUAGUGUAGCGGUGAAAUGCGUAGAUAUUAGGAGGAACACCGGUGGCGAAGGCGGCUUACUGGACUGUAACUGACACUGAGGCUCGAAAGCGUGGGGAGCAAAC